ACUAUAAUCACUUCAGAGCUAUUCACUAAGGGUGAAUGGGAGUCCUUGGCGGUGACAACCAGAGCACUUGCAGUUAGGCUGCCAGAUGGGGUUGUUGUAAGUGUGACUCUUACAGAGAUCACCUGAGUGCCUCCAGUCCAGCCUCCAUUUCUUAUCAUCAAUUACAUAAUUUCCUCCCAUAUAUGAACAAUGCUGUUGCCUAGGAAUCCAGUACGUGUCAAACUGUUUGAUUUGAAUAUUUUAUGACUUAUCUGCCUAGUGACUGCAUCAGUGACAUCAAUUCACUUGUUCAAAUAUGGCCAAAAUGUAUAGAUCUAU